UACGUAGGGGCCAAGCGUUGUCCGGAUUUAUUGGGCGUAAAGAGCUCGUAGGCGGUUUGGAUAGUCGGGUGUGAAAACUCCGAGCUCAACUCGGGAGACGCCACCCGAUACUGCCAUGACUAGAGUCCGGUAGGGGAGCAGGGAAUUCCUGGUGUAGCGGUGAAAUGCGCAGAUAUUAGGAGGAACACCGGUGGCGAAGGCGGUUCUCUGGGCA
rnacentral:rRNA from 1 species